AGGCUCUUCUGAAGAUGUCGGGUCUGAAGAAGAUAAAGUAAAUUAUCCUGUUCAAGACAAUCAAGAAUUAGAAUUGGAGUCUGAAGAAGAUAUAAAGUCUCAGGAGGCAAGUUUAUUAAAAAAGCAAAAAUUAAAUGAUUUUAAAAAGGAUUUAGAGAUACAGUGUCAUUUAGCUGAUGAAAAUGAUGGUAAAAUAUUCUCUAAUGAGGGUUUAAAUAAAGAAAGUUGCUCAGGUA
rnacentral:lncRNA from 1 species